AGUCUGGUGCCAGCAGCCGCGGUAAUUCCAGCUCCGCAGGUGUAUAUCUAUGCUGCUGCGGUUAAAAAGCUCGUAGUUUGAUCUGCGUGCUCGGAACUGGUUGGCUCACUGAGUUCAAACUGGUCUCCGGCGCUUUAUUGGCUGGUUUUCCCUUGAUGCUCUUAACCGGGUGUCUUGGGUGGCUAGCACGUUUACUUUGAAAAAAUUAGAGUGCUCAAUACAGGCGUAAAGCCUUGAAUAGUGGUGCAUGGAAUAAUAGAAUAGGACCUCGGCUCUAUUUUGUUGGUUUUCGGAACGCGAGGUAAUGAUUAAGAGGGACAGACGGGGGCAUUCGUAUUGCGACGUUAGAGGUGAAAUUCUUGGAUCGUCGCAAGACGGACGACUGCGAAAGCAUUUGCCAAGAAUGUUUUCAUCAAUCAAGAACGAAAGUUAGAGGUUCGAAGGCGAUCAGAUACCGCCCUAGUUCUAGCCGUAAACGAUGCCAACUAGCGAUUCGCAGGCGUUAAACAACGACCUCGCGGGCAGCUUCCCGGAAACGAAAGUGUUCGGGUUCCGGGGGAAGUAUGGUUGCAAAGCUGAAACUUAAAGGAAUUGACGGAAGGGCACCACCAGGAGUGGAGCCUGCGGCUUAAUUUGACCCAACACGGGAAAACUCACCCGGCCCGGACACCGUAAGGAUUGACAGAUUGAGAGCUCUUUCUUGAUUCGGUGGGUGGUGGUGCAUGGCCGUUCUUAGUUGGUGGAGCGAUUUGUCUGGUUUAUUCCGAUAACGAACGAGACUCUGGCCUACUAAAUAGUGGGCGGAUUCUUUCUGUCCGCAACACUUCUUAGAGGGACAAGCGGUAUUCAGCCGCACGAGAUUGAGCAAUAACAGGUCUGUGAUGCCCUUAGAUGUCCGGGGCUGCACGCGCGCUACACUGAAGGAAUCAGCGUGCUUUCUGACCUUGCCCGAAAGGGCUGGGUAACCCGAUGAAAAUCCUUCGUGAUUGGGAUAGGGACUUGCAAUUAUUUCCCUUGAACGAGGAAUUCCCAGUAAGUGUGGGUCAUAAGCUCGCGUUGAUUACGUCCCUGCCCUUUGUACACACCCCCGUCGCUGCCCGCAACUGAGCCGUUUCGAGAAGAACAGGGACCGUCGUUGAAGGGCCUUAACGGGCUUUUCUCUGAUAGAAACUGUU
rnacentral:rRNA from 1 species